GUAAUAGGAAAAACUAAUUUAAACCAGUUUUUAAAAGAACAGAGUUUUGUUUGUUUGUUUGAUUUUUUGAUACUGGGGAUCAAACUCAGGACCUUGCACUUGCAAGGCAGGCAGCAGCGCUGCUGAGCUAAAUCCCUAGCCCAAGAACAGACUUUUAAAAAUCACAAAAUAUUAACAAUUGCUAAGUUAGAGGGGAAUGGAUGUCAUUAAACGAACAUUUUAAUUUCUUUGUACUUAUGAAAAUUUCAUUGUAGAAGGCUGGAAGAAAGGGUGUGGGGUUCCCAUUAGGUCAGAUAAAUGAAGAAAGUAGAGAAGGGACUCACUUCACUGGGCCCUGUCUGGGCGCUGUCCUUAGGGGAAAGAUGGGAAGGUCCAUUUUCAUGUCUAGGAGGCCCCUGGUAGCUGCAAGCCCCCCCCACCCCCGACCCAGAAUGGCAGUUCAGAGUCCCCUGACCCCACUGCAAGGGUCUUCCCUGCACUCACGGAUAAAUCCUGGCAUUCACUGUCUGUCAAAGGUUCAGUUAGGGAGCCCACCUGUCCCUGAAACAGUCACAGAGGCUAAGGAAGGUGUAUGUCAAGGGCUGUACACCUGCAGACCCACUCCUCAAUUCAAUCAACUCCAGCCCUCAUUGACAGGGGGUGGAGGAGGAGGAGAUUUUUCUUCCCCUGAAGAAAAUUCAGGUUCUGUUGGUGGAAGUGGAGAGCUGGAGGCUGGAGAAAGUGACCACUGCCCACCUGUGGAAGCUCUGAGGUGGACAGAUGCAUGGUUCUCAGUGUGGGCUUUCCUUCCUAGGUUUAAAAGGCUGGUAGAUACACAGAACACCUACCUGCUGAUGUUCCUGUCUUCCACGAGGUGGGUGGUGCUGAGGAUGGAGAUUAUGACCAACCUGAUAACCUUGGCCGUGGCCUUGUUUGUAGCGUUUGGCAUUUCCUCGGCUUCCUAUUCCUACAGAGCCAUGGUGAUCAGCCUCGUGCUGCAGCUGGCAUCCAUGUUCCAGGCCACGGCUCGGCUUGGCUCGGAGACAGAGGGGUACUUCACAGCUGCGGAGAGGAUGCUGCAGUACAAAAAGGCAAGGCUCUGGGCAGGGUCUGAAGUGGGAGCUCUCUGAGGUGGGUGGUGACUCUGUGACCCUGGUAGUAACCACUGAGUAACCACUUUCCCAUCCCAGAGAAAGGGAACAGCAUUUGAGCAAGUUGCCCAAGGUUACACAGCUGAUUCAAGUGGCAAAAGUGGUUCAAGUCCACACUUGAACCAAGUAAUCUAUGCUCUUAACCCCUGUGCCAUCCAUAGCAGCAAUAAACUGUAUUUCCCCCAAAGUAAGACUUGGAAAAUAAUUAGCUUUGAAAACCAGAGAUAAAAUACUCCAGCCCCAGUCAUCCUAUCCUUGCCUU
rnacentral:lncRNA from 1 species